ensembl:rRNA 5S_rRNA 5S ribosomal RNA
GGUCAGGGCUCCAUGGACACACUCAAUCUUGUCUGAGGUUAGAAGCUAAGCAUACUCAAGACCAGAUUGUCUUUGGAUGGGAGACCACCUUGGACUACCAGGUGCCUUGAGUU